GAAUGCUGACAUAAGUAACGAUAAAGCGGGUGAAAAGCCCGCUCGCCGGAAGACCAAGGGUUCCUGUCCAACGUUAAUCGGGGCAGGGUGAGUCGACCCCUAAGGCGAGGCCGAAAGGCGUAGUCGAUGGGAAACGGGUUAAUAUUCCCGUACUUGGUGUUACUGCGAAGGGGGGACGGAGAAGGCUAUGUUGGCCGGGCGACGGUUGUCCCGGUUUAAGCGUGUAGGUGUGUGUUCCAGGUAAAUCCGGUUCACUUUAACACUGAGGCGUGACGACGAGGCACUACGGUGCUGAAGCAACAAAUGCCCUGCUUCCAGGAAAAGCCUCUAAGCAUCAGGUAACAUCAAAUCGUACCCCAAACCGACACAGGUGGUCAGGUAGAGAAUACCAAGGCGCUUGAGAGAACUCGGGUGAAGGAACUAGGCAAAAUGGUGCCGUAACUUCGGGAGAAGGCACGCUGACACGUAGGUGAAGUGAUUUACUCAUGGAGCUGAAGUCAGUCGAAGAUACCAGCUGGCUGCAACUGUUUAUUAAAAACACAGCACUGUGCAAACACGAAAGUGGACGUAUACGGUGUGACGCCUGCCCGGUGCCGGAAGGUUAAUUGAUGGGGUCAGCGCAAGCGAAGCUCCUGAUCGAAGCCCCGGUAAACGGCGGCCGUAACUAUAACGGUCCUAAGGUAGCGAAAUUCCUUGUCGGGUAAGUUCCGACCUGCACGAAUGGCGUAAUGAUGGCCAGGCUGUCUCCACCCGAGACUCAGUGAAAUUGAACUCGCUGUGAAGAUGCAGUGUACCCGCGGCAAGACGGAAAGACCCCGUGAACCUUUACUAUAGCUUGACACUGAACAUUGAGCCUUGAUGUGUAGGAUAGGUGGGAGGCUUUGAAGUGUGGACGCCAGUCUGCAUGGAGCCGACCUUGAAAUACCACCCUUUAAUGUUUGAUGUUCUAACGUGGACCCGUUACCCGGGUUGCGGACAGUGUCUGGUGGGUAGUUUGACUGGGGCGGUCUCCUCCUAAAGAGUAACGGAGGAGCACGAAGGUUGGCUAAUCCUGGUCGGACAUCAGGAGGUUAGUGCAAUGGCAUAAGCCAGCUUGACUGCGAGCGUGACGGCGCGAGCAGGUGCGAAAGCAGGUCAUAGUGAUCCGGUGGUUCUGAAUGGAAGGGCCAUCGCUCAACGGAUAAAAGGUACUCCGGGGAUAACAGGCUGAUACCGCCCAAGAGUUCAUAUCGACGGCGGUGUUUGGCACCUCGAUGUCGGCUCAUCACAUCCUGGGGCUGAAGUAGGUCCCAAGGGUAUGGCUGUUCGCCAUUUAAAGUGGUACGCGAGCUGGGUUUAGAACGUCGUGAGACAGUUCGGUCCCUAUCUGCCGUGGGCGCUGGAGAACUGAGGGGGGCUGCUCCUAGUACGAGAGGACCGGAGUGGACGCAUCACUGGUGUUCGGGUUGUCAUGCCAAUGGCACUGCCCGGUAGCUAAAUGCGGAAGAGAUAAGUGCUGAAAGCAUCUAAGCACGAAACUUGCCCCGAGAUGAGUUCUCCCUGAGACUUAGAGUCUCCUGAAGGAACGUUGAAGACGACGACGUUGAUAGGCCGGG
rnacentral:rRNA from 1 species